rnacentral:tRNA from 1 species
AUUUAAUUAAUAACCUUAUCAAAUGUUUUCAAAACAUUUACUUGUUUAGCUAUUCUAUAAAGAAAAUUUC